rnacentral:rRNA from 1 species
GACGAACGCUGGCGGCGUGCUUAACACAUGCCAGUCGAACGGAAAGGCCCUGCUUUUGUGGGGUGCUCGAGUGGCGAACGGGUGAGUAACACGUGAGUAACCUGCCCUUGACUUUGGGAUAACUUCAGGAAACUGGGGCUAAUACCGGAUAGGAGCUCCUGCUGCAUGGUGGGGGUUGGAAAGUUUCGGCGGUUGGGGAUGGACUCGCGGCUUAUCAGCUUGUUGGUGGGGUAGUGGCUUACCAAGGCUUUGACGGGUAGCCGGCCUGAGAGGGUGACCGGCCACAUUGGGACUGAGAUACGGCCCAGACUCCUACGGGAGGCAGCAGUGGGGAAUAUUGCACAAUGGGCGGAAGCAUGAUGCAGCAACGCCGCGUGCGGGAUGACGGCCUUCGGGUUGUAAACCGCUUUCGCCUGUGACGAAGCGUGAGUGACGGUAAUGGGGAAAGAAGCACCGGCUAACUACGU